AUUGAACGCUGGCGGCAGGCUUAACACAUGCAAGUCGAGCGAGCGGCGGACGGGUGAGUAAUGUCUGGGAAACUGCCUGAUGGAGGGGGAUAACUACUGGAAACGGUAGCUAAUACCGCAUACCAUCAGAUGUGCCCAGAUGGGAUUAGGUAGUUGGUGAGGUAAAGGCUCACCAAGCCGACGAUCUCUAGCUGGUCUAAGAGGAUGACCAGCCACACGGGGACGGAGACACGGCCCUGACUCCUACAGGAGGCAGCAGUGGGGAAUAUUGCGCAAUGGAUGCAGCCCUGACGCCGCCAUGCCGCGUGAAUGAAGAAGGCCUUCGGGUUGUAAAGUUCUUUCGGUAGCGAGGCGUUAACUACAGAAGAAGCACCGGCUAACUCCGUGCCAGCAGCCGCGGUAAUAC
rnacentral:rRNA from 1 species